UUAAGCCGGGGGUCUCACUGGAAGCAACCUCUCUAUUCCUACGGGGUAGAGGUAAGGAUGUCUACGUCUACCCUCCUCAGACCUUACCUUAGCUUUGUUAUUGGUGGGAUGUAUUGAGUAUGAUGAUGAUGAUGUCUAUACCUUAUUAGUAAUACAUAAUAUAUAAUCGGAUUUCUUGUUCCAUUACACUUUUAAAGUUAAGAUUGAACAAUACUAAUCAUAGUAGGGUCCCUGAUUAGGCUCCCCGUCUAGGCUCCCAUCAAUAACCAAUUUAAAAGGCGCAUUUAGCCUUAUCCCAAAAGAAGCUCAAGAGGAUGAAAAGAGGCGGGAACAAGAGAAGGUCUGAAAAAGAUCAUCGCCUCACAUCACUGUUUCGGUCACUGGCGUUAAAUGCCUGAACAGGAGAGAGAAGACAGCUAGCAACAGUAGUACGAGGAAGGUACUGCCGCAUUAAAUGUAAAGAUCCUCUCUGAUUUGCAGAGAGCCGUUGGAUCUACAUGGGAUGCUCACCAUCUGAUAAGACCGACGCUUUAUAAAAGCAAAGGGAUGAUCCCAAAGGAUUCUAUUUGGACGCAGUCUUAUCAACCGGCCCAACUAGUUAGGGGAUUCGACAGUACGUUGUAUAUAUCCUAUUUUAUUUUAGAUUGUAUAUAGUUUUAAGUUUGUCACAUUCUUGAAAUGAGAUGUAAUUAGUGCGUUUUCAUGCACCUUC
rnacentral:lncRNA from 1 species